rnacentral:rRNA from 1 species
UACAGAGGUCUCGAGCGUUGUUCGGAUUCAUUGGGCGUAAAGGGCGCGUAGGCGGCGGGGUAAGUCUGGUGUGAAAUCUCGGAGCUCAACUCCGAAAUUGCACUGGAUACUGCUCUGCUAGAGGGCUGGAGAGGGAGAUCGGAAUUCACGGUGUAGCAAGUGAAAUGCGUAGAUAUCGUGAGGAAGACCAGUGGCGAAGGCGGAUCUCUGGGCCUUACCUGACGCUGAGGCGCGAAAGCUAGGGGAGCAAACAGG